CCUACGGGAGGCAGCAGUAGGGAAUAUUGCUCAAUGGGGGAAACCCUGAAGCAGCAACGCCGCGUGGAGGAUGAUGGUUUUUGGAUUGUAAACUCCUUUUGUUAGAGAAGAUAAUGACGGUAUCUAACGAAUAAGCACCGGCCAACUCGGUCCCAGCGGCCGCGGUAAUACGGAGGGUGCAAGGGUUACUGGGAAUCACUGGGCGUAAGGAGCGUGUAGGCGGGAUAGCAGGUCAGAUGUGAAAUCCUAUGGCUUAACCAUAGAACUGCAUUUGAAACUGUUAUUCUAGAGUUUGGGAGGGGUAGGUGGAAUGCUUGGUGUAGCGGUAAAAUCCGUAGAGAUCAAGAAGAAUACUCAUUGCGAAGGCGACCUGCUAGAACAUAACUGACGCUGAUGCGCGAAAGCGUGGGUAGCAAACAGGAUUAGAUACCCCAGUAGUC
rnacentral:rRNA from 1 species